CUUUCUUUGCUGGCGACCGGCGCACGGGUGAGUAACACGUAUCCAACCUGCCCUUUACUCGGGGAUAGCCUUUCGAAAGAAAGAUUAAUACCCGAUAGCAUAAUGAUUCCGCAUGGUUUCAUUAUUAAAGGAUUCCGGUAAAGGAUGGGGAUGCGUUCCGUUAGGUUGUUGGUGAGGUAACGGCUCACCAAGCCUUCGAUGGAUAGGGGUUCUGAGAGGAAGGUCCCCCACAUUGGAACUGAGACACGGUCCAA
rnacentral:rRNA from 1 species